AAUAAAUGCAGUUUUAUCACUGUUCAUGUCCAACGUUUGACUGUUCGUCUUAUUUGAAAAAAUAUUAUAAUUAGUAAUUUUAUUGUUACUAGAUGAUAAAAUAUGAAUAGUACUUAACGUGUGACUAAUUUUUUAAAUAUUUUUCUUAAAAUUUUCAAAUAAGACGGAUGGUCAAAACGAUAAAUUCGGAUAUCUAUGGCUGCACUUAUU
rnacentral:pre_miRNA from 1 species